UACGUAGGGUGCGAGCGUUAAUCGGAAUUACUGGGCGUAAAGCGUGCGCAGCCUGUUCUUUGUGUCGGCGGUGAAAGCCCCGGGCUUAACCUGGGAAUGGCCGUUGAAACUGGCGAACUGGAGUGUGGCAGAGGGGGGUGGAAUUCCGCGUGUAGCAGUGAAAUGCGUAGAGAUGCGGAGGAACACCGAUGGCGAAGGCAGCCCCCUGGGCUAACACUGACGCUCAGGCACGAAAGCGUGGGGAGCAAACAGG
rnacentral:rRNA from 1 species